GAUUGCAUUAGUUGUUUUACUGGGACCUUGAUAAGGGACUUCAAUAUUGCUACAUACAUGAUUUGUCUGUUCCUGAAGGGAAUUAUUUUAAGAAAUUGCAUGGAGUAUGCUUAUGGAAAGUCUACGCAUUUCUACAGGCACUUAUGAUCACACAUAUACAUACUAAAGAAAAUAAUUUAUAUAUAUUUAGGGAAACAUAAAUUAUUAGGAUAAAUUUAGUUCUCAGUAAUCAGAUUGAGGGCUUUCUUAGAAAAAAUCUCAUUGAUGUUCUUGACCCCUGUUGAUCUAUUUCUCUGUUUCACAUCUUGCCUACAUCUCUCCCUUUGUAGAUAUAGGAGAGAGGGAUAGGGUCGGUUUCUGUCUAAUCUGACUAUAUGUUGAUUUCAGGACACAAUUGGAAGGUAUUACUGUGUUGGAUUGAAGCAUGCUAAUGAUAUCAUCGGAACAACCACAGAGGAGCUUGUCCUCAAGGCAAAACAGGGUUCCUUGAUUUCCUGAUGCUGUGUGGCUAAGGACCUAAGGUGUUAAUUCUGCUAUCAAGCACCUAAGAGCAGACAAUUCAGAUUAGAGGUUUUCCAGUUCUUUUUUUUCUUGUUUGUUUUUUUUUUAUUUUAUUUAAUGGGUUCUUUCUAAAGGCACUUGUCUAUUAAUGUAUGUAAUUUGAUUUGACAAGUUUAUUCCCAUUCUUUCUUUUCUCUAUCUCUCUCAAAGGAAAAAAAACAACAAAAAAAAACUGUGUGCAUGUAAUUUGGCAAGAUUUCCAGAUUGUGAAUCUGUCCAGGAUGCAAAAGCCUACUGUUAUGCUAAGAACAUCCAUGUUGUGUUGGAUGGAAUUUUGGGAAUGGUUUCUUUGUGGAAUCCUUUGUAAGAUGAUCGUCAGCAGCGAAAUGAAGAGCCACUUUUUUGCUUCUUUGUGGUUGUUGCCUUGUUGGGAAUAUAGGACAUGAAAGCUUGGGUUUUGGCAAUGCCAUUCCGGAUGAGAUCUCCUCAUCCGGAUUCCACCUCCUUCCUAAAAUGCAUUCCAUUGAAUUGCCUUGACUGACACCGGAUACUAGACACUAGUCACACUAUGUAGCAGGACAAAUCUGUAAAGAACUACUGUCUCUGCUCAACUCCAACUUGGAGAUUCUAACUCUAGAAGGAUGUGUAAACCUGGAGCUUCUUCCAAGAGGCAUUUACAAGUGGAAACACCUUCAAACUUUGUCUUGCAAUGGCUGUUCAAAGCUAGAGAGAUUUCCAGAAAUCAAAGGCAAUAUGAGAGAGCUAAGGGUGCUUGAUUUGAGUGGAACAGCUAUAAUGGACUUACCAUCAUCAAUUACACAUCUAAAUGGUCUUCAAACUCUCCUACUUCAAGAGUGUUUAAAGCUCCACCAAAUCCCUAAUCAUAUUUGCCACUUAUCAUCAUUGAAAGUAUUGGAGUUGCCACUUAUCGGUAUUUUGUGGAGAGGUAGUAGGUGUCAUUCCUGAAUUCACUGUUUUUAUCAGCUCCAGGAUGAUAUUGGAGGCUCUUGAAAGCAAUCGGAGAUACUUGGGUUGCUGAGGCCUUAGCCGGUCAGCAAAGGCCAGACACCAGUAGAGGAACUUAUGGAGAAUCUGGUUGGAUUGGGCACACAGGAAAUAGCGAGAGUGAUGGUACUUGCAGUCACAAACAGGCCUUUUGAUCUUGAUGAGGCCAUUAUUGAAAAAGGUCGAAGCUUAGAGAAUCUUGAAUUUAAAACCUCAAAAUUCAUCCUGAUCUAUGAGAAAGCAAUCUCCUAGAAGGAUCCACUAAUUGUGUGGCAUAUUAACUGCCAAGCAGCCUUGGUUUUUCUCUCUAUGUACACAUCGGCACUUAGAUGAUGACUACAAAAGCAACAAAACAAAUCCAACAACAGUGCAUCACUGUGAACUUUACAAAGAUGUAAUAGAAACCAUACCCAUAAACAGGGCAGCUUAUAACCCUGUUCGUUAAACCCA